CGGAUAUGUACAUCCCUUGUGAAAUCAUGGAGCUCAACUCCAUGGCGCGCGGGGGACACGGCAUGUCUAGGGAGUGGGAGGAGCAAGAGGUAUUCGCGGGGGACCGGUAAAAUGGUAUAAUCCCGCGAGGACCACCGAUGGCGAAAGCAUCUUGCUAGAACACGUCCGACGGUGAGGGACGAAAGCCAGGGGAGCGAACCGGAUUAGAUACCCGAGUAGUCCUGGCCGUAAACGCUGCGAGCUAGGCGUUACACCACCUAUGUGGUGGUGUAGUGUCGAAGCGAAGGCAAUAAGCUCGCCGCCUGGGGA
rnacentral:rRNA from 1 species